rnacentral:rRNA from 1 species
UACGGAGGAGGCAAGCGUUAUCCGGAAUGAUUGGGCGUAAAGCGUCCGUAGGUGGUUUUUCCAGUCGGCUGUUAAAGAGCAAAGCUCAACUUUGUAAAGGCAGUGGAAACUGAAAGACUAGAGAGCCGUAGGGGUAGAGGGAAUUCCCGGUGUAGCGGUGAAAUGCGUAGAGAUCGGGAAGAACACCGGUGGCGAAGGCGGGUCUCUGGACAGUUCCUGACGCUGAGGCACGAAGGCCAGGGGAGCAAACGGG